rnacentral:rRNA from 1 species
UACGAAGGGGGGCUAGCGUUGCUCGGAAUCACUGGGCGUAAAGGGUGCGUAGGCGGGUCUUUUAAGUCAGGGGGUGAAAUCCUGGAGCUCAACUCCAGAACUGCCUUUGAUACUGAGGAUCUUGAGUUCGGGAGAGGUGAGUGGAACUGCGAGUGUAGAGGUGAAAUUCGUAGAUAUUCGCAAGAAACACCCAGUGGCGAAGGGCGGCUCACUGGCCCGAUACUGACGCUGAGGGCACGAAA